rnacentral:lncRNA from 1 species
AUGCACUGCUUGCAUUCUGACAAUAACAGGAUGAUGGGGAGGGAGAGGACAAGAGGUUCCCACUUAUCUACACAGACAGUGUGUUGGUGCUCCCCACACUGCCUUUUCUUCCUGCCCUCAUGGCCCCACCACAGGGCCUGGGUCCACCCUUACCGCAGGUUUCUGCUCUUCACAGAGCCAGGACUGCACCCAGGGAAUAAUGCUGCCACUCAAACAGUCCAAUUAGUGAGUGCAGAGCAGGCGCCAAGGCCUGACUGCACACAAAGCCAUGCUUACAGUCACAGAAGUCAGUCUGUGACCAAGCCUUCAGAGAGUAAAUUAUUCAAGAACUCCCGGCCUAAUAGUAGAUAAAGCAGAAAUAGAAAGACACCCCUCUGCUUUUCGUUUAAGUCAUACUAAUUACUGUUCACCCUUACUAGUCGCUUUACUUGCGUGUGCAUCAAAUGGGGUCUGUUUUAGGAGGCCAGGAGCACACAAGCAAACCUACUUAUCUGACAGAUAAAAAGAGCAUUUCAAUAUUGUCACAGCUGAACUGGAAACGGAGAGGCCUAUGUACAUAAACAUGAAAAAUUAAAAACUGUAAUAUGCAACACAGGUGCUUCAGUAGAACAAGCAAAUAAGCAACUGUGGAGACAAGCAGUGAAGUUAUAGCCAGUGCACUGGGAAAGCAAAGAGGAUGUGCCCCAGAGCGAGGCCCCUAAGGGCAACUGCUCAGAGGGGCCAGCCCCACCAUCUCUCACAAGAGAGCAGAUUUGGAAAGCAAGGCUCUGAGUUGCAAGCUAGACACCAUGCUAAAGCACGUUCUCAGGACUUAGCACAGACAGGGAUGUGCUCGCUACAAGUACAAGACACACAAUUCAACUCCUCUUAAAGCCAAGAAUGUAUCAGUAUUGUAGGUGCAAAAUAAACUGUGCUCUGAACAUCAUCAUAGGGAAAAAAGAACACUCUUACUGGGUCAUUUAUCAACGCCCUCUCUUCAACAAGGUGAAAAACAUGUCAAAAUAUUAACAACUAACAAAGACAGAAGCGCUAGAACUGAGCCUGGAUUCGGCCCAUCUGAUGCAGACACAUACUUUUUGCCGAGCCACACUGACCCAUUCUCUGUGCAGGACACAAAGUGUGGACAAACGAGGCAGUUGGCUCGUGGUUUGUUUGCCUGCUCUGAUCAAUAGAGCUUUGCUUACCAUGCUGCACUGAUUUCAGCUGGGUUUUUACGGGGUGGCAUUUUGGAUUUGUGCUGAAAAUAGCACUGAUCACUCAGGGAUGGUUUACUUAUUGCUGAAUAGCCCUUACACAGAGCCAAGGCCUCUUCUGCUUCUCUCACUACCCCACCAGCAAGUCAUAACAAGGAGCUAGGGGAGGGUCACCUCCAGGACAGCUGACCCCCAACUAACCCAAGGGACAUUCCAUACCAUAUGGUGUCACAUGCAGCAUAUAAAGCUGGGGGAAGAAGAA